ensembl:snoRNA SNORA74 Small nucleolar RNA SNORA74
UCCAGUGGUAGUCGGCUGUCCAGAGCAGUACUGUGCCUGUGAUAGUGUUACACUGCUGGGAGAUAAAUAUCAGUUAUUUCUUCUGGCUGCUGUUGUCACCGUUCUGGAGACAGCUGAUGCCAAAAAGAAGUGACAUUGUGCUUCUCUGAGAGUGCACUAAAGAUUUGCUUUCCCUCUUUAGUGCUAGUCUGGAAGCACACAUA